UCUUUCUUUGCUGGCGACCGGCGCACGGGUGAGUAACACGUAUCCAACCUGCCCUUUACUCGGGGAUAGCCUUUCGAAAGAAAGAUUAAUACCCGAUAGUAUAAUGAUUCCGCAUGGUUUCAUUAUUAAAGGAUUCCGGUAAAGGAUGGGGAUGCGUUCCAUUAGGUUGUUGGUGAGGUAACGGCUCACCAAGCCUUCGAUGGAUAGGGGUUCUGAGAGGAAGGUCCCCCACAUUGGAACUGAGACGCGGUCCAA
rnacentral:rRNA from 1 species